rnacentral:rRNA from 1 species
UGAAUACGAGACGCUAAGGCGUCGAAGUAGUGUAUGUCAUACUUCCAAGAAAAGCUUGCACUGUCAUAGAUAAAAAACGCCUGUACCAUAACCGACACAGGUGGGUAGGUAGAGUAUACUAAGGGGCGCGAGAUAACUCUCUCUAAGGAACUCGGCAAAAUAACUCCGUAACUUCGGGAGAAGGAGUGCCUUAUUCUUAAGGUUGCAAUAACAAGAUCCAAGCAACUGUUUAUCAAAAACACAGGUCUCCGCUAAGUCGUAAGACGAUGUAUGGGGGCUGACGCCUGCCCAGUGCCAGAAGGUUAAAGAAGCUGGUUAGCAUUUGCGAAGCUAGUAACUGAAGCCCUGGUGAACGGCGGCCGUAACGAUAACGGUCCUAAGGUAGCGAAAUUCCUUGUCGGGUAAGUUCCGACCCGCACGAAAGGCGUAAUGAUUUGGAUACUGUCUCGGAGAGGGGCUCGGUGAAAUAGACUUGUCUGUGAAGAUGCGGACUACCUGCACCAGGACAGAAAGACCCUAUGAAGCUUUACUGUAACUUGAAAUUGAAAUUGGACUUUAUUCGCGCAGUAUAGGUGGGAGGCGUUGAUUAUAAUCUUGCGGGAUUAUUGGAGCCAUUAGUGAGAUACCACUCUUGUAAUGUUAGAUUUCUAACUUUGAAUCAUUAUCUGGUGAAAGAACAGUUUCAGGCGGGCAGUUUGACUGGGGCGGUCGCCUCCUAAACGGUAACGGAGGCGUACAAAGGUUUCCUCUGAACGGUUAGAAAUCGUAUCUAGAGUGUAAAGGCAUAAGGAAGCUUGACUGUGAGACCUACAAGUCGAGCAGGGACGAAAGUCGGUCUUAGUGAUCUGACGGUACUGAGUGGAAAGGCCGUCACUCAACGGAUAAAAGUUACUCUAGGAUAACAGGCUGAUCUCCCCCAAGAGUUCACAUCGACGGGGAGGUUUGGCACCUUGAUGUCGGCUCAUCGCAUCCUGGGGCGGUAGUACGUCCCAAGGGUUGGGCUGUUCGCCCAUGAAAGCGGUACGCGAGCUGGGUUCAGAACGUCGUGAGACAGUUCGGUCCAUAUCCGGUGUAGGCGUUAGAAUAUUGAGAGGAGCCUUCUUUAGUACGAGAGGACCGAGAAGGACAUACCUCUGGUGUACCAGUUAUCGUGCCAACGGUAAACGCUGGGUAGCUAUGUAUGGAGUGGAUAACCGCUGAAAGCAUCUAAGUGGGAAGCCCACCUCAAGAUAAGUAUUCUCACC